rnacentral:rRNA from 1 species
GUGGGGAAUAUUCCGCAAUGGACGAAAGUCUGACGGAGCAACGCCGCGUGAGUGAUGAAGGUUUUCGGACUGUAAAGCUCUGUUGUUUGGGACGAAAGUGCCUGUUGCGAACAGUUACGGGUAUUGACGGUACUAAACGAGGAAGCCACGGCUAACUACGUGCCAGCAGCCGCGGUAAUACGUAGGUGGCAAGCGUUGUCGGGAAUUAUUGGGCGUAAAGAGCAUGAAGGCGGGAAUCUAAGUCUGUUGUUAAAAUGCGGGGCUCAACCCUGUAUUGCGAUGGAAACUGGGUUUCUUGAGUGCAUGAGAGGAAAGGGGAAUUCCCAGUGUAGCGGUGAAAUGCGUAGAUAUUGGGAGGAACACCAGUGGCGAAGGCGCCUUUCUGGACUGUGUCUGACGCUGAGAUGCGAAAGCCAGGGUAGCGAACGGGAUUAGAUACCCGGGUAGUCC